GACGAACGCUGGCGGCGUGCUUAACACAUGCAAGUCGAACGAUGAACUGGGUGCUUGCACCUGGGGAUUAGUGGCGAACGGGUGAGUAACACGUGAGUAACCUGCCCUGGACUCUGGGAUAACCCCGAGAAAUCGGAGCUAAUACCGGAUAGGACCUUGCACCGCAUGGUGUGGGGUGGAAAGUUUUUCGGUCUGGGAUGGACUCGCGGCCUAUCAGCUUGUUGGUGAGGUAAUGGCUCACCAAGGCGUCGACGGGUAGCCGGCCUGAGAGGGUGACCGGCCGCACUGGGACUGAGACACGGCCCAGACUCCUACGGGAGGCAGCAGUGGGGAAUAUUGCACAAUGGGCGCAAGCCUGAUGCAGCAACGCCGCGUGCGGGAUGACGGCCUUCGGGUUGUAAACCGCUUUUAGUAAGGAAGAAGGGGCCUUUGGGUCUUGACGGUACUUGCAGAAAAAGGACCGGCUAACUACGUGCCAGCCGCCGCCGUAACAC
rnacentral:rRNA from 1 species